rnacentral:rRNA from 1 species
GGGGAUCUGCCCGAUAGAGGGGGAUAACCACUGGAAACGGUGGCUAAUACCGCAUAACGUCGCAAGACCAAAGAGGGGGACCUUCGGGCCUCUCACUAUCGGAUGAACCCAGAUGGGAUUAGCUAGUAGGCGGGGUAAUGGCCCACCUAGGCGACGAUCCCUAGCUGGUCUGGGAGGAUGACCAGCCACACUGGAACUGAGACACGGUCCAGACUCCUACGGGAGGCAGCAGUGGGGAAUAUUGCACAAUGGGCGCAAGCCUGAUGCAGCCAUGCCGCGUGUAUGAAGAAGGCCUUCGGGUUGUAAAGUACUUUCAGCGGGGAGGAAGGCGACGGGGUUAAUAACCGCGUCGAUUGACGUUACCCGCAGAAGAAGCACCGGCUAACUCCGUGCCAGCAGCCGCGGUAAUACGGAGGGUGCAAGCGUUAAUCGGAAUUACUGGGCGUAAAGCGCACGCAGGCGGUCUGUUAAGUCAGAUGUGAAAUCCCCGGGCUUAACCUGGGAACUGCAUUUGAAACUGGCAGGCUUGAGUCUUGUAGAGGGGGGUAGAAUUCCAGGU